GACGAAGGGGGCUAGCGUUGUUCGGAAUUACUGGGCGUAAAGCGCGUGUAGGCGGUUGUCCAAGUUGGAUGUGAAAGCCUUGAGCUCAGCUCAAGAAAUGCAUUCAGGACUGGAUGACUAGAGGACCGGAGAGGAUAGUGGAAUUCCCAGUGUAGUGGUGAAAUACGUAGAGAUUGGGAAGAACACCAGUGGCGAAGGCGGCUAUCUGGACGGUUUCUGACGCUAAGACGCGAAAGCGUGGGGAGCAACAGG
rnacentral:rRNA from 1 species